rnacentral:rRNA from 1 species
AUGGCUCAGAACGAACGCUGGCGGCAGGCCUAAAACAUGCAAGUUGAACAGCCAUAGCAAUAUGGCAGUAGCGCAAGGGUGAGUAAUGUAUGGGAACGUAUCUUUUGGUGGGGAAUAUUCUUUGGAAACGAAGAGCAAUACCGCAUAAGCCCUACGGGGGAAAGAUUUAUCGCCGAUUGAGCGGCCCAUAUUGGAUUAGCUAGUUGGUUAGGUAACGGCUGACCAAGGCUGUGAUCCAUAGCUGGUCUGAGAGGACGAUCAGCCACACUGGGACUGAGACACGGCCCAGACUCCUACGGGAGGCAGCAGUUAGGAAUAUUGGACAAUGGGGGCAACCCUGAUCCAAGCCAUGCCGCGUGAGUGUUAAGGCCUUCGGGUUGUAAAGCUCUUUUGUAUGGGAAAAUGAUGAUGGUACCAUAAGAAUAAGCACCGGCUAACUUCGUGCCAGCAGCCGC